AACUUGCAGUAGAUGUGUGUGUAAAUUAACAGGCAAAUUAAAGUUUGAAGAUAAAGUAAACAAAUGAGCAAAACAAGCAUUGAAAUUAUUAAAAGAAGAACAGAGUGAAGUUUCUAGAGAAAUAUUGGGAAAUGCUAAAGCCCCAGCAGAAUGAAGCUUGAUCCUGCACAAUCGAGACCCUGAACUAGUGAAAGAAACAUUGGAGAGUACGUUGGUUGAAUAUAGUCUACAGGGGGAAGCAGAACUCCAAGACAGACCAGAAUGAAAAGAGCUCCAAAACAGGGAAAGUGGAGCCUGUCAGGGACAGGGGAAGCCUGAGCCACAAUAACUUACAGAAGAUGUGAGCUUUUCAUUGAGAACGCUUUUUUCCAUUUGUUCCUUUCUGCCUCUCUUACUCUCCAGCCAGGAUCUGAAAGAUGGAAGAGUGAGAGAAGGAACUCAUGAAAGUCUCCAGAGGCCUUUUUGCUCCAUGAUGGUUUAUGUGCCUUGGAGUUGGAGGCGAGAGCCAGGCCCCAACAAUCCCUCUCCCUCUACUGGGCAGGGCACAGGAGGCUCAGAAGAACAUCACAAAUGCCAAAGUGAUUUAUGUGGCCACAGACAAUGAGAAAAUGUGGGCAUUUGGGCAACAUUUAGACCAGCGCUACCUACAGGCUUCGCAACACGGUCACCAGCUGAAGUCAAUGUGCACAAUCUCAGUUAGAGUUGUCAGCUUCACUUGUUGCUCUGGCUUGAUAUUUUCCUCCAAAUUUCUAUGAAUUAUAUACAAAUGCAAAGUAACUACAGUACUGUACAAAGAGGUGUGGAGAUAUUUAAAAUUGUAGCGAAGCACAACUUUCCAGAGAAAAUAAAUUUGGAAAGAAGUCCUUCAUCAGCUGAGCAAUCAAAGUGCUUCUCAUUACAAUAUACAAAAAUACAAUA